GCCAAGGCGGUGAUUACCCUCGAGUGCAUAACUCGUCUUACCUAUUUUCAGAGCCCUCCCGGCGCUGCUGAAACAAAUUAACACAUGAGCCUUCGU
rnacentral:snoRNA from 1 species